GACGAACGCUGGCGGCGUGCUUAACACAUGCAAGUCGAACGGAAAGGCCCUUUUGGGGGUACUCGAGUGGCGAACGGGUGAGUAACACGUGAGUAACCUGCCCUCCACUUCGGGAUAACUUCAGGAAACUGGGGCUAAUACCGGAUAGGAAUCCUUGCUGCAUGGUGGGGGUUGGAAAGCUUCGGGGGUUUUGGAUGGACUCACGGCUUAUCAGCUUGUUGGUGGGGUAGUGGCUUACCAAGGCAUUGACGGGUAGCCGGCCUGAGAGUGCGAGCGGCCACAUUGGGACUGAGGUGCGGCCCAGACUGCUACGGGAGGGAGAAGGGGGGAAGAUUGCACGAUGAGCGGAGGGCGGGUGCAGCAAGGCCGCGUGCGGGAUGACGGCGUUCGGGUUGAAAACCGCUUUCAGCAGGGGCGAAGCUUGUGGUGACGGUACCUGCAGAAGAAGCACCGGCUAACUACGUG
rnacentral:rRNA from 1 species